GCUCUGCUGGCGCAAUUGGAAGCGCGUAAGACUUCUAAUCUUAAGGUUGCGGGUUCGAGCCCCGCGUGGAGCU